UACGAAGGGUGCAAGCGUUAAUCGGAAUUACUGGGCGUAAAGCGCGCGUAGGUGGUUUGUUAAGUUGGAAGUGAAAGCCCCGGGCUCAACCUGGGAACUGCUUUCAAAACUGGCAGGCUAGAGUAUGGCAGAGGGUGGUGGAAUUUCCUGUGUAGCGGUGAAAUGCGUAGAUAUAGGAAGGAACACCAGUGGCGAAGGCGACCACCUGGACUGAUACUGACACUGAGGUGCGAAAGCGUGGGGAGCAAACAGG
rnacentral:rRNA from 1 species